UGUCAGCCGCCGCGGUAAUACGUAGGGUGCGAGCGUUAAUCGGAAUUACUGGGCGUAAAGCGUGCGCAGGCGGUUUCGUAAGACAGACGUGAAAUCCCCGGGCUCAACCUGGGAACUGCGUUUGUGACUGCGAGGCUAGAGUACGGCAGAGGGGGGUAGAAUUCCACGUGUGCAGUGAAAUGCGUAGAGAUGUGGAGGAAUACCGAUGGCGAAGGCAGCCCCCUGGGUUAGUACUGACGCUCAUGCACGAAAGCGUGGGGAGCAAACAGGAUUAGAUACCCUGGUAGUCCACGCCCUAAACGAUGUCAACUAGGUGUUGGAAGGGUUAAACCUUUUAGUACCGCAGCUAACGCGUGAAGUUGACCGCCUGGGGAGUACGGCCGCAAGGUUAAAACUCAAAUAAAUUGACGG
rnacentral:rRNA from 1 species